ensembl:snoRNA
UGGUACAUUCUAAUUCCUGCUGGUCAGUCUAUAGCCUGCCAGGUUUUGCUUGUGGACCAUAGCACCCUGGAAGCUUGACCCGGAUGAAUGAGCAAGGCCUCUUGUGGGCUCAUGCUAGAGGCACUUCUGGACAAGU